rnacentral:lncRNA from 1 species
UUUUUUUUUUUUUAGUAAAAUGUGAAGAUUUUAUACCAUUUUCGAAGUUUCGACAGAAAUUACAAAGAAUACAAGUAGCGGAAAAAACAAAAUCUACAGAAUAAACAAUAAAAAACAAAACAACAAAGAAGGCGAGCGUAAGACCAGAGCAGAAGCGAAAGAAGAAACACCGAUUCCGAGUAGCCAAACUCAGAAAUUUGCGUGAUUUCCACAACUCGAAGGAGCUGGAGUCCCAUCUUAGUUGCCACGAGCAAACCCUAUCAGAAGCCCGUCCUCAAAACCUCUGGAUAAAGCGCCUACAGCUUCUCUGCAAACUAACGCAAAAACGCGAUGACAAUAACGGACUAAAACACAAACCCGACGGUUACAGGAGCAUCUACGGGCAACAAGAGAAACCACCUCCGGUCGCCAUUCCUAUACAACGACAGGAACCAUCUCCCACGGAUUAACGAUGCCACAUUGACCAAAGCACCGCCUCUAUUCUUCUCAAGAAGACUCCACUCGAGCAUGACGCGCACCUUCACCACUGCCUAAGCACAAACAACAACAACAACAAACACAAGAAAACAAGUUCCAACUUCGAGCAAACUGAAGAGGUACCGAGGUGACUUGACGAGAAGCAAAGGAAACCAAUGCUUCGGCUAAUGAACUCACACCAUCACCAGCCCAAAAAUAGAGGGGAGUCGCUGACCACCCAAACCUAGAACCACCACAGCGAUCCAACCGCUACGAACCCAACAAAGGAUUGGAUCAGAGAACCCAAACCUAGUUCGGCCUCCAAAAGAGCCGAGAAGCCAAAACCUCACACACCUCCACCGAGAGCUUGGGAAACAGAAGAAGGAGAGGCCGAGAAGAGGAGAACCACCGUCCCGAGACCACCAUUGAAAAGCCCAGCCGAGAAGAAAACCGACGAAAAGAAGAUCUGGAAAAACUAAGGCGAUGCACCACCUUGUUUCAGAUCGGAGAAGAAACCCGUCGCUAGGAGGAGCAGCGAACCCAAACGCCUCAUCAACAGCCACAACCGCCGCAGAAAAAGGAGUUCCGCCGCACAAGGAGAACACAAAAGCCACGCAUUGCCGGAGUCAUGAAAGCGUACCGAUGCCGUCCUCAAACAUCGAAGCCCAAAGAACAACCGGACGAGCAUGGCGGGACUCUCCUUGCCACCGUGCGAAGGAACCCACUGCGAACCACCAACUAGAGACGAAGGGA